AGUGAAUUUGAAUUGCUCACGCUGAGACAGAAGCUUCAAUUACAUACUUAAAAAAAAAGUUUACAAACCAACACCUCCUCGUCAAAUCCCACAGUCACCUUCGUUUCUUAGAGAGAUCUUUCGUUGAUAUUACAUUUCUAUUUCCAGUUCCUUUUCUGCCAUUAGCAGAAGCAAAGAGCACUCCAAAUAACUGCAACCUCUCAGAGCCCAAGAGGUUGAGAGGUUAGCCUAAAGUUUCCUGAGACUUGUACUGCAAUAUGUAGUUGAGAGAAAAGGUCGUGCUCUCUGUGUUUUGUUUUAAAUUAAUAUUGACCCAUUAAUUCCAAACCUGCUUGUUCGUGAAAUUAUACAGGAUUAUAGUUUGCCAUCUCCAGGACAAUGAAGUAAAUCAAGAUGAAUUACAGUUUGGCCCUCCCAUCAGAUGACAUCUGAACUGGGACUGAGUACGUGCGGAUGUGAAGAGUCUUGUGGGGACUGGCGGUGGGGGAAGGAAAGGAGAGGAGUUUCGGAGAGAACCUUUGGGGGAGGGGAGCUUUUGAUUAAAAAAUAUCAAGAGUAAAUUAAAAUAUAAAACUCUGGACAAAGUGGGGGAGGGGGGAAUCGCGGCUUGCUUGUAGAGAGGGAAUCAGCAGACUUGAUGGGACCUGAGAUGGAAAAGUCCUAGGGGCCUGUCUCUGGAGAAGCUGAAUGUGUGUGUGUGUGUGUGUGUGUAUGUAUGUGUGUGGCGUUUCUUUGCGGCUGGGUGUGUUUUAGCGGCUGUAACUUUACCUAUAGGCCGAGCAGACACUGUGCCUUUGUUCUGCACGGAAUCACUGGCCCUUAACAGGAGAUCACUUGAUAAUGCUCCUUCUUUAUGAUCGGCGCUCGCUGCACAUUAACUUGUCUUUCUUUAUUUUUGGAGGAGUCGCGGCCAGACCUGCAGGCAAGGAUCAGGCGGCGGAGAGAGCGCCAACAAAAAGCCCUUGGGACAGCCGAUCACCUUCCCCUGGUAGUCCUUGGCGGUGGCGAUGGCCAGAAUCAAUGGAUCCCCGGGCGAAAGUUUCUAAAAUGGGAGGCUGGGCUGGACAGUUUCUGCACCAUGCUGGGGCCAGCCAGGACAGCUCCUGGGACAGAGCUGGGAGAACAGAUGGCGCCUCUUUGGAGCCCAGAGACAGACGGAUCCCCACUUUCCCCCCAGUCCAGACCGCUUCCAAUCGAUUGGCUGUGCCGUGUCAACACUUAAACCCUGACAAAUCAAACCCAAACUAUUGGACCUGGGCGUUCACGUUGGUACUUCAGAUCGUUAAAAAGAUGAGAAAUCGGCGUGCUCACCCCCAGAGGACAUAAAUCAUUCCCGGCGCAUUCUGAAUUUCCUCUGCCCCUCCCAAUUGAAGCCUGGAAGCUCAUCAUUUCUCUGCGCCACUUGACCAAAGAUAUAAUGUUUUGAAGAGGUCGUAAAUCAAAAGGUUUUUGGCUUCCCUUCUCCUUGCUAGCGAUGGAGUUUGGAUCUGAAAUAAUAAUGAUAAUCAGAAUUAAUAAUAAUUAAUGGAGAGAAGUGGGGGAGGAACCCCAAAGUCUUAACAUUCCCGUUCUUAUCCAAAGCUAAUAAAAAUAACUUAUCUGAUGUGUGGCUGCUCUUUUGAGGACUCAGUAAGCGCUAAUGGCUGGCCAAAAGCGCUGAGUGUGAACAAACAGAGCUGUCUGGGUCCCAAUCCACAUCUCAAUCCACAAUGAGAUGGGAGACCUAAUCCCUCCCCCCCGCUUCCCGCAAAAGCAGGGAUUCACUCUACAGUCUACCCAGUCCUUCACUCCAUUUCUCUUGUGCGGAUUAGGAGGGGGAGAAGUGUGGCCUGUAAUCAGAUCUGGUGUUUUGAAACAUUUAUGAAUAUAGACUCGCUAUUGAUUGACUUCAGAAAUGGCAAGGCGCAUUAAGCUUAACACACAAUCAGGUGGAGAUCACCAACGGACAAUGGACCAUCUCAGGAGCAUCAUUGGAUCUGGUUCUACAUUGCCGAAGCAGGAGAUCAACAGAUAUGGUCUGGUGGCAAAGUCCUUGUCUUGAUUCCUUGGAUGGUACUCAGGAACA